rnacentral:misc_RNA from 1 species
UUUAUAUAGUGCUGAAGU